rnacentral:rRNA from 1 species
AGAGUUUGAUCCUGGCUCAGGAUGAACGCUGGCGGUAUGCUUAACACAUGCAAGUCGAACGAGGUGCUUAGGCAUCUAGUGGCGGACGGGUGAGUAACGCGUGAGAAUCUGGCUCCAGGUCGGGGAUAACAGUUGGAAACGACUGCUAAUACCGGAUGUGCCGAGAGGUGAAAGAUUUAUUGCCUGGAGAUGAGCUCGCGUCUGAUUAGCUAGUUGGUGGUGUAAGGGACCACCAAGGCGUCGAUCAGUAGCUGGUCUGAGAGGAUGAUCAGCCACACUGGGACUGAGACACGGCCCAGACUCCUACGGGAGGCAGCAGUGGGGAAUUUUCCGCAAUGGGCGAAAGCCUGACGGAGCAAUACCGCGUGAGGGAGGAAGGCUCUUGGGUCGUAAACCUCUUUUCUCAAGGAAGAAGAAAGUGACGGUACUUGAGGAAUAAGCAUCGGCUAACUCCGUGCCAGCAGCCGCGGUAAUACGGAGGAUGCAAGCGUUAUCCGGAAUGAUUGGGCGUAAAGGGUCUGCGGGUGGAACUGAAAGUCUGCUGUUAAAGAGUUUGGCUUAACCAAAUAAAAGCGGUGGAAACUACAGAACUAGAGUGCGGUAGGGGCAAAAGGAAUUCCUGGUGUAGCGGUGAAAUGCGUAGAUAUCAGGAAGAACACCGGUGGCGAAAGCGUUUUGCUAGACCGUAACUGACACUGAGGGACGAAAGCUAGGGGAGCGAAUGGGAUUAGAUACCCCAGUAGUCCUAGCCGUAAACGAUGGAUACUAGGCGUGGCUUGUAUCGACCCGAGCCGUGCCGGAGCUAACGCGUUAAGUAUCCCGCCUGGGGAGUACGCACGCAAGUGUGAAACUCAAAGGAAUUGACGGGGGCCCGCACAAGCGGUGGAGUAUGUGGUUUAAUUCGAUGCAACGCGAAGAACCUUACCAAGACUUGACAUCCUGCGAAUCCUGGUGAAAGCUGGGAGUGCCUUAGGGAGCGCAGAGACAGGUGGUGCAUGGCUGUCGUCAGCUCGUGUCGUGAGAUGUUGGGUUAAGUCCCGCAACGAGCGCAACCCUCGUUUUUAGUUGCCAGCAUUAAGUUGGGCACUCUAGAGAGACUGCCGGUGACAAACCGGAGGAAGGUGAGGAUGACGUCAAGUCAGCAUGCCCCUUACGUCUUGGGCUACACACGUACUACAAUGCUACGGACAGAGGGCAGCGAGCCAGGGAUGGCAAGCGAAUCCAGAAACCGUAGCUCAGUUCAGAUCGAAGGCUGCAACUCGCCUUCGUGAAGGAGGAAUCGCUAGUAAUUGCAGGUCAGCAUACUGCAGUGAAUUCGUUCCCGGGCCUUGUACACACCGCCCGUCACACCAUGGAAGUUGGUCACGCCCGAAGUCAUUACCCCAACCGAAAGGAGGGGGAUGCCUAAGGUAGGACUGGUGACUGGGGUGAAGUCGUAACAAGGUAGCCGUACCGGAAGGUGUGGCUGGAUCACCUCCUUUUAGGGAGACCUACCCAUUGAAGAAUCGAAAGCCGAAGGCGAAUAGAGAAUCAAAUGGUCUACUCUAGGUCGGUCGAGAAUUGGUCAAGUCUCUUUCAAAGUAUUAUAUUUCCGGUGAUUCCCAGCAACUAGGAAAGACCUAGACUGCUGGUGAGAACCAGCCAGAACCUUGAAAACUGCAUAUAGACAGAUAAGAGAGCUGAAAUCGAAAGAUAGAAGUAAGUGAAGAACCAAGUGGUCAAGCUAAUAAGGGCUCAUGGUGGAUACCU